GAUUAACGCUGGCGGCGUGCAUAACACAUGCAAGUCGAACGAUGAAACUUAAAUGAUUUCUUCUGAAUGAACUUAAGUGGAUUAGUGGCGGACGGGUGAGUAACGCGUGAGUAACCUGCCUUACACAAGGGGAUAGCCGUUGGAAACGACGAAUAAUACCCUAUGAAACUAUCACUUCGCAUGAAGCGAUAGUCAAAGUGUUAGCGGUGUAAGAUGGACUUGCGUCUGAUUAGCUAGUUGGUGAGAAAAAAGCCCACCAAGGCAACGAUCAGUAGCCGGCUUGAGAGAGUGUACGGCCACAUUGAGACUGAGACACGGCCCAGACUCCUACGGGAGGCAGCAGUGGGGAAUUUUGCACAAUGGGGGAAACCCUGAUGCAGCGACGCCGCGUGAUUUAGAAGGCCUUCGGGUUGUAAAAGUCUUUUGUAUAGGAAGAAAAUGACAGUACUAUACGAAUAAGGUCCGGCUAAUUACGUG
rnacentral:rRNA from 1 species